rnacentral:rRNA from 1 species
CAAGACUUGACAUCCCGCUGACCGCUCUAGAGAUAGAGUUUCCCUUCGGGGCAGCGGUGACAGGUGGUGCAUGGUUGUCGUCAGCUCGUGUCGUGAGAUGUUGGGUUAAGUCCCGCAACGAGCGCAACCCUUACGUUGUGUUGCCAUCAUUUAGUUGGGCACUCACAAUGGACUGCCGGUGACAAACCGGAGGAAGGCGGGGAUGACGUCAAAUCAUCAUGCCCCUUAUGUCUUGGGCUACACACGUGCUACAAUGGGCGGUACAAAGGGAUGCGAAACCGCGAGGUGGAGCCAAUCUCAUAAAGCCGUUCGUAGUUCGGAUUGCAGGCUGCAACUCGCCUGCAUGAAGCCGGAAUUGCUAGUAAUCGCGGAUCAGCAUGCCGCGGUGAAUUCGUUCCCGGGCCUUGUACACACCGCCCGUCACACCACGGGAGUUGGCAACACCCAAAGUCGGUGAGGUAACCUUUCGAGGGGCCAGCCGCCUAAGGUGGGGUCGAUGACUGGGGUG